AGUGAACGCUGGCGGUAGGCCUAACACAUGCAAGUCGAACGGCAGCACAGUAAGAGCUUGCCCUUACGGGUGGCGAGUGGCGGACGGGUGAGGAAUACAUCGGAAUCUACUUUUUCGUGGGGGAUAACGUAGGGAAACUUACGCUAAUACCGCAUACGACCUACGGGUGAAAGCAGGGGAUCUUCGGACCUUGCGCGAUUGAAUGAGCCGAUGUCGGAUUAGCUAGUUGGCGGGGUAAAGGCCCACCAAGGCGACGAUCCGUAGCUGGUCUGAGAGGAUGAUCAGCCACACUGGAACUGAGACACGGUCCAGACUCCUACGGGAGGCAGCAGUGGGGAAUAUUGGGCAAUGGGCGAAAGCCUGAUCCAGCCAUGCCGCGUGAGUGAAGAAGGCCUUCGGGUUGUAAAGCCCUUUUGUUGGGAAAGAAAAGCAGCAGGUUAAUACCCCGCUGUUCUGACGGUACCCAAAGAAUAAGCACCGGCUAACUUCGUG
rnacentral:rRNA from 1 species